rnacentral:misc_RNA from 1 species
GCUGAGCAAAUUCUAUAAUCAACCCUAUAAUACAAGGAGACAGAUUAGUCUCCAUGGAGAUAAAAAUACAAAAUAUGGUAAGCAAAUAAUCAACAAUGUCUGAAACCUUCAUGUGGCAAAGUUUGUCAUCAAUCAGAUCCCUCAUAAUAUGGGACUUCAUCUCAUGAUGGCAUCAACAAACUUUUGCUUUCUACUCUUUGUACAAACCUCAUCAUCAAGCUAGCACCUCCCUUGAGUAAUUGUUUAUUUUCUCGGCAUGUUCGGCUGACACAUAGAUUGCAUCUCGUAGAGUGCUGUGGGUUCGACCG